UGUUCUGUAGCUUAGUUGGUUAAAGCGCCGGUCUAGCGUACACGGAAUCAUGAGUUCGAGUCUCACUAGAACGC
rnacentral:tRNA from 1 species